rnacentral:rRNA from 1 species
CCUACGGGGGGCUGCAGUGAGGAAUAUUGGUCAAUGGCCGGAAGGCUGAACCAGCCAUGCCGCGUGAAGGUCAGUGCCCUAUGGGCGUUAAACUUCUUUUGUGCGGGAGCAAUAAUGGUCACGUGUGGCCAGACGAGAGUACCGUACAAAUAAGCAUCGGCUAACUCCGUGCCAGCGGCCGCGGUAAUACGGGGGAUGCAAGCGUUUUCCGGGUUUAUUGGGUUUAAAGGGUGCGUAGGCUGUGAGGUAAGUCAGCGGUGAAAUGCCCCCGCUCAACGGGGUGAAGUGCCAUUGAUACUGCCUUGCGGGAAUGCGGAUGCGGUGGGAGGAAUGUGUGGUGUAGCGGUGAAAUGCAUAGAUAUCACACAGAACACCGAUUGCGAAGGCAUCUCACGAAUCCGCGAUUGACGCUGAUGCACGAAAGCGUGGGUAUCAAACAGGAUUAGAUACCCGAGUAGUC